GAAGCUCGUAUUUACAGGUAUCU
rnacentral:miRNA from 1 species